UGGAUCUGGGAUGUCACACUGCUU
rnacentral:piRNA from 1 species